AUAUAAAUAGAUAUAGAUAUACAUUGAAUAUUUUUCUAUAUUUUUUAAUUUAAUAAAUCUAAAAUUUAAAUAUAUAUUCACUAGUUUAUAGGGACACAUGUUUGGAAUAUUUUUGUGUAAGUAUCCUAUUAUACCAAAACUUAAGAAAACAUUUACUAAUGCCUAAAUAUAAAGUCCAAUCCAACAAAAAAUAGAAGAUUACUCUACUCAACCCACCCCACCCAGUUCAUUCAGCCCGAUUACAAACAGAAAAAAAAAGAAAAAUCGAUUACCAUCUCCCCUUCUUCCCUCACUUAAUUCACUAGAAUUCUAGACAAAGAGCCCUUCCCUCUCAUCCUCCUAACGAGGUAGAGUUUCAGCAGUUGCUAAAUGCUUAAAUAAGUGUUGGUAAAUUAACAACACUCUUUUAGUUUAUAGCAACACUCUUUAACUAUCACUAUAUACCUAACGACCCCACAUAUAGCAACACUUUUUAAAAAUGUCGGUAAUUUAGUCAGCGACACUUUUAACAGCAGCACUUUUUUUUACCUGUACCGAUAUUUAAAAGUGUCGCUAUAGGCCGUUUUUGUUGUAGUGUUAAACAAAAAGUAUUAAAAUUAAAAAAAUAAUAUAGCAAUAAAAUAUUAGUAGAUAGAAUAGACAUAAUAUAUACAUAUUUAUCUUUAAAAGAAAAAAUAUUUAAUAAUAAAAAUAUUUAAUAAAAAAUAAAAUAUUAAUAGUUGGAGAAAAAAGUGGAAUAAAUAUUUAUUUUGCAUACGAAAAAAAGUCGAUAGAUCGAAAUUUGAAAUACGUAUUUUUACAUAUAGUAUAGAUAUAUUA
rnacentral:lncRNA from 1 species